GGGAUCAAAUUCAUUGUUCCAUUCGAAACUGCAAACCAGCAUCUGACCAUCCCAUGUGAAUUGAUCUGGUCUGACAGUUUGAAGAUUCUUCAAAAACUGUUCAAAGACAGCUAUUUUCAUUCAUCAUCCAUAUUUAGGAUAAACUUGACCUUCAGUAAUUAACUACUGAUAAACUCCUCGGCAAUUACAAGGGUAGUUUCUAUUAUUUGUUCUAACCUCAAAAUAUUUACUGUUAUUGUUCAUCUGGUUGAAUGCAGUAUUAUGGAUAAUGAUAGUUAUAUGAUAAGAAUCCGAAAACUGUGUCAAGAUUCUUUCUUUAAUCACGAUUACAGAAAUUAAACCAAAACCAAAAACAAAUUGAGAUAUCACCGUCCAUCAACAAACAUUCGCAGGAAUCAAUUGCUCUAACUUCUAAUUUGUUAAAACCAAUAUUCAACAUACAAUCAUAUUUUCAAAUUUUUACAAAACCCACUCAAGAACAAUAAAUAUUCCUAAUAUUUACACCAAAAGAUUAAUUAACAAAAUGCAUAUUAGCAUAGAUACAUUGCAAAUACAUAUAAAGGUCUAAUUUUGAUGAGCAUAAUAACAAUUUAUGAAAAGCCAGAAAACGACCAUAGGAAACCGUCCAUACAAAGACUUGACGAUGAAAUCAUCUUGGUAACUAAGAAGGAAAGAAGAAGAAGAAAACCCUAAACCAGACUGAAACCAAUGAAACAGAUUGAAUAUUCUUGUCAUGAAAUCUUAACUAAAGGAAAUCUUAUCUUCUCCAUUGGCAACCUGAGAAGGAGAAGAAGGAAAAGUAGUAGCCAACGCCAAGCUUCCUUCACUCCAGGCCCUCCUCAUAGGGUAUGACACAUUGUUAGACCUUGGAAUCUUGUGCGUGCAAUGAAGAGACUUGUUAUGGAGUUCACAGCCACAAUUACGGUGGUAGGGUCGCCGUUCAAUGCAGUUAUCGUAGCCAGAAAUACAUCCUUCGUACACCGACCAGAAUAAUCCAUCGGAGGCAGCACCCGUAGCAGCCAUGUUUUGCUGCUUCCAAAUAAGAAAAAGAAGAUUUUGCUAUAAACUUCUUCUCUUGUAGCUUGUUGAUGAUGCAAACGCGUAAGCUCCUUUAUAAAGUGCUUAUUUAGGCUUUGAGCACAAAAUUAUGGGCAUUUAUAUAAUACCAUACUCUGGUAGUUGAUCGAAUAUACCUCGGAAGUUAGUUUUGGGUAAAUUAAGAACGGCACGUUCAAGAAGUGUGGGAUGUCUCCUGUCUCAGACACAUUUU
rnacentral:lncRNA from 1 species